GCGCGGGGGUGGGGGGCGGGCCGGGGAGACGGUACCUGGGCUCCGGCAGGACGAUCUUCUUGCUGGCGCGGGCGGCCGGCGUCGCCUUGCUCUUCUCCAUCGCCAUCAGAUUCUGGGCUCUAUUAGCACUUCCUACUCACAAUGAAAAUCUCUGGACUACAAAAGCUGAGGAGAAAAUGCAAUCCUGGGAAAUUAAUCAAUCACCAAUGUAAAAAUCAACUCUAACACUCCAGAGAGAAGAUUUUUGAGAACAGGGGAUGUUGACAGGCCUGAUUUUAUUCAUCUCUGUCAUACCAUUUACAUCAAUCUCUGCUGUAGGGACCAGCAGUGACGCCAGGCCCACCUCCAGAUGCUCAGCUGUGAAUUCACAGAGGCAGUAACCACAGAGAACCAAUAAAUUCCAGAACCUACAGCAGCCACUUCCAUGGUGCUUCUGCAGCAGCUGGGCACGUCAAGCCUCCAGAUUUCUCUGCUUUGACUCAGGACCUUGAACACUAGAUGUCUAAGACUUUGGAGAUGAUGUGGGGUAGGAAGAUAUUACAGAAUGCUGUGAGUAGACACGGAAACCCUGGUGGCAUAGUGGUUAAGUACUACAGCUGCUAACCAAGAGGUCAGUAGUUCGAAUCUGCCAGGCACUCCUUGGAAACUCUAUGGGGCAGUUCUACUCUGUUCUGUAGGGUCACUAUGAGUUGGAAUCGACUCGACGGCAGUGGGUUUUUUGGUUUUGGGUGAGUAAGCACUGAAGUUUCAGGCACAUGAAGGGAGAAAUAUUCCAGACACUGACAAAGAAUAUACUCUGAAUGGUCACACAUGACCCAGGGGUGGAAUUCUAGGGUCAGGGUUAACCUCAUCUCUCAUGGCCUGAAUAUAGGGCCACUGAGGCCAAGGGAGUCGACAAAGAACUGCACAUCAGCCAGAAGGUGCUGGAAUCAAGACAAAGGAAUCUUUCCUCUAUUCAGAGCCAUGAAGCAUUCACGCCUAGCAGUCACGGAGCUGCUUUGCUUAUAGAGGAGCCAAGAAAGGCAUAAAUAGAGCUGGCAGAGGCUCAGACACCAAAAGCAGGGGGAAAUUGCAGAUUAAAAAUCCCCAAAGCUCCCCAUUCUGAAAAGAUGAAAACAAUCGGAGACAGGUUAUGCACUCUCAGGUGGAAAGGAGGAACCCAUAAUCAAAAAUACCAGAGCCAACACUCAGUGGCCAGAUCUUGGUUUCUAACACCACUCUUAAAAGGGACCGGGGCUCCCCGGAGAAAUUCCUGACUUUAGGGCUGGGCCAGGAAAUAAAAAAGAUGAGUCUGGAGGAUCUUGUAGUGCCAGGAAUUAAGGAAGCACUCAAACAAAAACAAAAUUCACAUACAGCCAAUGAUAGGGGUAUGUCAAAAGGACACACGAGCCAACGGAAAGAGUUUCCAAUAGCGAAGGCUAGAACAAGUUGAGCAACAAAAUAAAGUAGUAUUGGAUUAGAGCCCAAAGUAUAAGCUAAAUAUCCAUAAGUCCAUACUGACAUAAAUAAAUGUUAUUAUUGUUAGCUGCCAUGGAGUCAGCUCCCGACUCAGGGCAACCCCAUACACAAUGGAAUGAAAUGUGGCCCAGUCCUGCACCAUCCCUACGAUGGGUUGUGGAUUGGACCAUUGUAAUCCAUAGGGUUUUCAUUGGCUGAGUUCCAGAAGGAGAUAGCCUGGUUUUCCUUCCUCAUCUGUCUUAGCCUGGAAGCUCAUAGCAACAAACCUGUUCAGUGACAUAGCAACACUCAAGCUUCCACUGACAGAUGGGUGGUGGCUGUGCGUGAGGUCCAUUGAUCAGGAAUUGAACCCUAGUCUCCUGCAUGGAAGGCAAGAAUUCUACCACUGAGCCACCAUUGCCCUCAUGAGUAAAGAAAGAGAGAGAGAGAGAGAAAUAUAUAAAUGGGUGAAACAGACAAAUCUCUGGUGUAGAAGAUUCAAAAUUAUGUAGAUCGUUUGCUCUAAGUGAGGUGGCACAUAACUCCCAACUCCGUAAGUGUGGGCUAUGCAUACUGACUUGCUUCCAAAGAGGGGGAAGAAAAAGGAUAACUUUACAGUGGAGAAGGCUGACAAACACCAUCUCAACCAGGUGAUCAAAAUCAGCAUCAACAGUGGCAAGUUACUUUGACAGUAUGUACACUUGAUGUGAUGUGAUCAGAAUGACACUCUAUCUCCAUGGUCUUCCUCCACAAAACACAGCACCCUAGUCUGACUAUGAAAAAAUAAAAAUCAUACAAAUCCCAAUUGAGGGGCAUCCUACAAAACACCUGACCAGGACUCCUCAAAACUAUCAAGAUCAUCAAAAACAAGGAAAACCUGAGAAACUGUCAUAGCCAAGAGGAGCCUAAGGAGAUAUGACCCCUGUAUGUCAUGUGGUGUCCUAGAUGGGAUCCUGGAAGAGAAAAAGGGCAUUAAGUAAAAACUAAGGAAAUCUGAAUAAAGCCUGGGCUGUGAUUAGUAACAAUGUAUCAGUGUUGGUUCAUUACUUGUGGCCAAUGUAUCAUACUAACAUCAGAUGCUUAUAAAAGAGGAACUUGGGUGUGCAGUAUAAUGGUAACUCUCUGGACUGUCUUCACAACUUGUCUGCAGAUUUUAAUCUAUUUUAAAAUAAAAAGUAUAUGUAAAAAAAUACUGAACCAAGGGGAUCCCUUGAGGACAAAUGCAUAAGGCUAAGGUAGCCUAAGGGUUAAAAGCAUGGAUUUCAAAGUCCAAGAAAGUCACAUAUGAGUGCAGCUUGCCACACACUUAUUGUGUGACCCUGAGGAAGUCACAUAACUUCCCAGAAUUUCAACUUCCUCAUCUGUAAAAUGUGUUCGCCCUGGUGCCUUCUGCACAGAAUGGUGGUCAGAUAUGAAGAAGAUCACGUAGAUAAGCCGUGAGACAUAUAGCAGGCAAUACCUUGUGGCUAUCAUUAUCUUCCAUCACCCAUCUGUCAGUUUGUCAUGCUAUAGUGGCUUACAUGUUGCUGUGAUGCUGGAAGCUAUGCCACCAGUGUCUCAAAUACCAGCAGGGUCACCAUGGUGGACAGGUUUCAGCAGAGCUUCCAGACUAAGAUACACCAGGAGGAAAGGCCUGCUGAUCUACUUCCGAAAACAAGCCAAAGCAAACCUUAUGGAUCACGACAGAGCAUUGUUCAAUACUGUGCUGGAAGAUGAGCCCCCCUAGGUUGGAAGGCACUCAAAAUACACAGAGACCACAACAAUGAACUUGAGCAUAUUGACAGUGAAGAUGGCACAGUUCAUUCUGUUAUGCAUAAUGUUGCUAUGAGUAGGAGCAAACUCAACAGCAACUAACAACAUUAUCACCAUUGUUUUGUUUUCUUUCCAGUAAGAAAAAUGAAUCAGGAUAAUCCUACUUUCCUGACCAGUAAUAAAAAAAAAAAAAAAAAAAUUUUUUUUUAAGGGACUAAUUGCCCCCAAUAGGUUAUGCGUGAUGAAAAUACAAAAUGAUUUUAAUAACAUCUUCCAGCGCUAUAUUGGAUAAUAUUCUAUUGUGAUCACUGGGUUUUCAUUGGGCUAAUUUUUGGAAGUAGAUUGCCAGGACUUUCUUCCUAGUCUGUCUUACUCUGAAGGCUCUACUGAAAACUGUCCACUAUAGGUGGGCCUGCUGGCAGGGAUUUGAGAGUUAUGGUGGGAUGGUAGACAAUAUUUUCUGUUCAUGAUUCUUCCUUCCCUCUCACCUUGCCAUAGCUUCAAUGUAGACAGAGUGGACUCGCCCACCCCAACAUGUAUGGCCCAUGGGAAGACAUGAUGCAAACAGAGGCUUUAAACAUGCUUGUGCCCUGCAGCUUGGCCUCUUGUACAUUUGCCAUCAGCAGGAGGCAAGUAUGUUCCAGGUAACCACGGCUCCUUCUUCCAGGGCCCACCAUGAGAGAGACAUGGAACAGACCUGAAUCCAAGCCCAACAAAUCAUGGCUGAUACCCAGACCCGUGGGAGAGAAAUAAAUGUUACUGGUUAUAAGCCACUAAGAUACCAGUGUUACUAAACAGCAUUAUCCCAGCAAUAGCUGACUAAUAAGUGGAUCAUUACAGAAAUAUUUGGGCACUAUCCAUGUUUCUUCUCUCUUUUAUAUGAACUCUGUGGAGAAUAACAGUAACCUUUUAGGAAAAGCUAGCGGUGCCUCUCCAAAUGCAGACAACCAGAGUGAAAGAGCCAGUGAUCUUACCAAAAAAAAAAAGUCUUAAAUGCUGCUCAAGAAUUUCUGCCACAGUCUUUCCUUUGAACCACUUCUCAUUUAUUUCAUUUCAUUUACUAUUUUCUUUAUAGUUAUUAAUCAUCCAAACUGUGUUAUUUAUAGAGCGUCUAUUAUGCGUUAAACAGAGCAUUCAUUUCAUGAAAAUAAUCCCUAGGUCACACACUACCUUUGUUAAGUUAGCUUUAUUGUCCCCAAUUUGAAAAAAAAAAAAAUGCAGUCGUGUUGAUCUGACUCAUGACAACUUCAUGUGUGUCAGAGUAGAACAGUGCUUUAUAGGGUUUUCGCUGAUUUUUCAGAAGUAGAUCGCCAGGCCUUACUGCCAAGGCACCUCUGGGUGGACUCAAACUGCCAGCCUUUAGGUUAGCAGCCAAGCAUGUUAACUGUUAGUACCACCCCGUGACUUUUUGUCCUUGGGGUAUUUCCCACUAAGGAUGUACUGUCACAGGGCUAUGAUUUUAAGUCACUUGUGUGUGGUUUAGUCACCAAGUCAGCACACAGUUAGAUUCACUGGUUUCAUUUUGCUUUUGACUUGAAAGAACGACUUUUCAUUUUCAGUUUGACUUUUUAUAAUUAUAGAAGAAAUUUACAUGGUUCCCAAGGCAAAUCUGUAAAACAAGAUCUUUUCAGUACAUUCUUACCUUUAAAUGUGUCAUCUAUAUUUCUCAGAGAUUUUUUUUAAUGUGGAAGAUCUUAGAUUAUACCUAUUGGAGGAGAUAAAUAAUGCUAGGUAUCAUUCAGACUGUAGAAAUAAUGGGGUAUUAUUUUUUUUCUCUGGCAAGAAAAAUAGUCAGCCCUGAAACUUGGAACCAUUUUGUUUCCCCUAACAAGGGCCUGCCUGUCAGUCUUCCAUAGUUUUAAAGCCCCACUGCACAGCCUGAAUGAAAAUGCAAUGUCAUUAUGAUUACUGAAAUCAAUUAAAUGUCAAGGUUUUUCCACUUGCACACAGCUUCUGAAUGCUUUUCAGAAAAUCUUUAUUCCCUCUGGGAUUUUUUUUACCUUCAGAGUUUUCAUAAUUAAUGUGACAACACAGACCCAGCCAUGUCUGUAACUUCCUUCCAUAGAUACACAAAUAGAACACACUCAGCAUCAACGGGUGAACUUGCUCGUUGCCUUGCCCCAGCUAGAAGCCUUGACCUCAUCUUGGAGUCCUCUCCCUGUCCCUUCCCUCGUAGCUAGUUGCCUCUAUGUCCUGUUGAUUCUACUGCUCAGGUCUCAGGAAUCCAGCCUCCCUCUCCUUUCUACCCUGCCUCAUCCCUCUACCGGUGUCUUUCAUGAGAAAUGACAGCAACAGUCUCUUUCCUAGUUUCCCUCCCCUCCAAUCACUCUCAAUAUAGCCACUGAAACAACCUUUCUAGAAAACCAAAUAUCUGAUGGUCUUAUAUUACUGCUUCAUAAUUAUUGAUGGCUUCCCAUCAAUCAAGGAACAAAAUCCAAAAUCCUCAGUGUGAUAUCAAGACCUCCUGAUCUUUUCAUGACCUCGACUUUCGCUGAUUCACAGAAUGCCUUCUCUGCUAUUCCCACCUCAUGCUCCCAAAGUAUGCCAUGUAUUUUUAUUCCUUUCUGUCUUUGCUCAUAUUGUUUCCCCGUCCCCGCAUCUCCAUCUAACCAACUCCUAUUUAUCCCACAAUACCCAAUUCAUUUAAGAGUCACCUCUCCUAUGAAUCUCUCUCAAUUCCAAGCCCAGACUAAUCCCUUCUUCCUCUAAGCUUCUGUUAUACUGCAUUCAGGCUUUAGUUUAGUAUUUAUCUUCCAUGGAGAUGAAGGGUUUAAAUACUCAUUUCUUAUCAUAGAAUGUGAGUGCCUCAAGAGCACAAACUAUCUCACUCACCUUUGAGCCCUUAGCACCAAGCACAGAGUCUGGCACACAGUGAGACAUAAUAAAAACUUCUUUACUGGUGAAGGACUUAAAGAUUAAGCAUGGAUGUCUUUGAACUGGAGGGAAUUGUAUAACUUGAAAGGGUUGGAAUUCUAAGGUCCUUUUUAAAUGGUUAUAAAAAAAUUCUGCAAAAAUAUUUUGGGAGGGAGAAAAAGAAUGGUUUCUUAGCUUGUCAUUGCAGCUAUAUAUAAAACUCUUGUAUUAAUUAUCCACAAUUCUCACUGAUCAUCACUGUUACAAUUUAACCAUGUAAUGCACACCAUCAUUUUCCAAGCAAGCAGGUUGUUUCUUUGUGAUUGUUUUCCAGAAAGUUAGAAUGAUCCUUGGAUGUUAAACAACAUGGCUUCAACAUCUCACCCUGCUGCAUGUUUAUCCCUGUUAUACACUGUGAUUUCUAAUUUUAUCAAGAAUUCUUUCCAGCUACUACUAGAAAUGAAACACAGCGGAGCUUCAUGACAGACUGAUCAUAAAUGUAUCAGGAUUCCAUCAGAAAUACAGCAAAAUUCAUAUCUGUAGAUUUAGGCACAGAUGACAUUCUGGAACACUGAUAGCAGGCUUUAGAACACAACGAAGUCAUUUUUCACUGGCUGUGUCUCAACAGAAAGGCGUUUGAAAAUCAUCACUGGGUGAUCUUGUUCUCAUCCUCAGAAGACUACAGAUUGUAAUUACCCAGGAGGUGUUAGAAGUUGCAGGGAGAAGAGGAAGAGGAAAGACUCACUUUUAUCAUGGUGACAAAAUGACUGGAACAGUUCCACACACAACAUCUUACUGAAGAAAGGAGAAAGCUUCUUUACCUCAACCACAAACAAAAUUCUGGAUUUCACCCUAAUUGAACCAACCUGAGUCACAUGCUCACCUCUGAAUAAUCACUAUGACCUGCUGUCAUGGACUGAAUUAUGUCCCCCCAAAAAAUGUGUGUAUCAACUUGGUUGGGCCAUGAUUCCUGUAUUGUGUGGUUGUCCUCUAUUUUGUGAUUGUAAUUUUAUGUUGAGAGGAUUAGGGUGGGAUUGUAACACCACCCUUAUUCAGGUCACCUCCCCGAUCCUGUGUAAAGAGAGUUUCCCUGGGGUGUGGCCAGUACCACCUUUUGUCUCUCAAGAGAUAAAAGGAAAGAGAAGCAAGCAGAGUUGGGGACCUCAUACCACCAAGAAAGCAGCACCAGGAGCAGAGUGCAUCCUUUGGAUCGGGGGUCCCUGCUCCUGAGAAGCUCCUCGACCAGGGGAAGAUUGAGGACAAGGACCAUUCUCCAGAGCCAACAGAGACAGAAAUCCUUCCCCUGGAGCUGACACCCUGAAUUUGGACUUGUAACCUACUAGACUGUGAGAGAGUAAAUUUCUCUUUGUUAAAGCGAUUCACUUGUGGUAUUUCUGUUACAAUAGCACUAGAUGACUAAGACAGAGUUUGGUACCAAGAGAGUGGAGUACUGUUCUAACAGAUACUUAAAAUGUGGAAACGGUUUUGAAACAACAGAGGGCCAGCAGCAGCAGAGAACCUGCAGCAGCAGUGACAGAGAACCAGCAGCAGCAGAACCAAGAGACCAGAGCCAGACAGCGCUGGAGCCAACCCACGGAGCGAGAGAGCUGAGUGCUGUGCGCAGGAGACUUCCUGGCCAAGUGGGGUGCCUCCAGGCACCUACUGGUAGAGCUACAGAGCUUUGGAACCCUUGCCCCAGCAGGGCAGCUGAAGAGACAAAGAACACAAGCCGAGCUGCCUCAGUCAGUCUCAAAAGGUAUGGCCAUGACCUCAGGGGUUUCAAAAGGUGGAGCCAUGGCCUCUGGUGUUUCUAAGGGUAGAUUGCCACUUAGAUGGACUAAAACAAUUGUGUGCCUAAAGCCGAGGGAGCAGAGUUGUUGUCCCGGUGGGCCUGGAAGACGGCGCUGAAGCCCAGGGCCAAGGGGCCUCCGCUCAGAAUCUGGAGAGUGUGGCCAAUACCUAGAGUCUGGAAGGCAGGGCUAUUGUGUAAAUGGUCUAAGAGAACAGAGGAUUAUUUUCAAAGCCUUGAGGGCUAAUGUAAUGUGUUCUGCUGACCUGCUUGGUACCUGUUAUCCCCUCUUUCCCUCCAGUUUCUCCCAUUUGUAAUAGAAAUGUCUAGCUUGUGCCUGUUCUGCCACUGUACCUUUGGAAGCGGAUAACUUGUAUUCUAGAUUUCACAAAUGAAGAGGAAUUUUUGGAUUUUGGACUUGGAGUUAAGACUUUCGCUAUGAUAUGAUGGGAUGAAUAUGUUUUGCAUGUUGCAAGGAUGUAAUUUUGGGGGGGCCAAACAGUGGAAUGUCAUGGAUUGAAUUAUGUCUCCCCAAAAAUGUGAAUAUCAACUUGGUUGGGCCAUGAUUGCCAGUAUUGUGUGGUUGUCCUCCAUUUUGUGAUUGUAAUUUUACGUUGAGAGGAUUAGGGUGAGAUUGUAACACCACCCUCACUCAGGUCACCUCCCUGAUCCAAGGUAAAGGGAAUUUUCCUGGGGUGUGGCCUGCACCACCUUUUAUCUCUCAAGAGAUAAAAGGAAAGAAUUGGGGACCUCAUACCAUCAAGAAAGCAGCACCAGGAGCAGAGCGUGUCCUUUGGACCUGGGGUCCCUGAGCCUGAGAAGCUUCCUGACCAGGGGAAGAUUGAGGACAAGGACCUUCCUCCAGAACCAACAGAGAGAGAUAGCCUUCCCCUGGAGCUGACACCCUGAAUUUGGACUUGUAACCUACUAGACUGUGAGAGAAUGAAUUUCUCUUUGUUAAAGCCAUCCACUUGUGGUAUUUCUGUUACGGCAGCACCAGAUGACUAAGACACUUAACAAGUUCAGAUGGGGUUAAGCUGGGGUUGUGUGCUCAUCUCAGAAACAGGAUUUUCUGUUUGGUGUAGAUGAACUGGGUGGGGUUUACCUCUGGAACCCUAAUCCAUAUGACCUUUAUUUGGAGAGCAGAUACAUAGACGCUGCUCAGAGAGUCAACAGCUAGUGGUACUUUUUCUGGGGAUUUAAAAUGUUUCUUUCACUCAGCCUUUGACCCUCCAAUGCAACAUUAAGCCACUCUGCUACUUCUCCAAUCAAUUGACUGUGUUCACAACUGUUCUUUGCCUAAUAUAUUUUAUCAGCCUCUCCCAACACUAUUAAAAAAGAGUUCAUGGAUUUGAACAUUAGUUAGUAACAAAAAACCUUGAUGUUGUAUACGAGCUCAACAAUUUACAGUGCCUUCUUUCCACUGUUUGCAUUUUGUACCUUUUGCUCCCUUUGUCAGGCAGCAUAGCACCAUGAUAGGGGAUUUGGACUCUGGAACUGGACCAAAUGACUUUGUAGAUUGGCUCUGCCACACACGAGCUGUGGACCUUGGAUAAUUUACUUAACCCGGGUGGGCCUCGGUUUCCUUAUCUGUAAAAUGAGGGUAAUACGAACACCCACUUUUAGAGUUACUGCAAGAACCAAACGAUAUAAUGAUGAGCACCGAACCAUUCUUGGCUUGGUGCCUAGCACAUAGCAAAUGCUCCGUGUAUGUGGUGAUGAUGAUGAUGGUGGUGGUGGUGACGAUGACAGAUAAUCAGCCUUAUUAGCUCUUGCUUUGUCCUUCCCAGCUAAGUGGAGUCGGACACCACAAAAUGUGACACUUUCCAUAGCUCAAGUAACAAAACCUGAGGUUUACAUAAAAAAUAUCCCCCACAAAUUCUGAACAUUUGCUCUUGGUCAAGGACUUAAUACAAUCACAAGCACCUAAAUUCAAGGGACACAAAAAUCUGAAGUUGGCAUUUAUAUGACACUGACAUAAAAAUAAAUAGAAAAGGAAAACUGGGGCCAAGGAGUUAAGCAAGUAAUUGUAGCACUUGGAAUUUGAAAAUAUGAAGGUGAAUAAUAAAUUAUUUAUAAUAAUUAAUACUAUUAAUAUUAAAAUAUUAAAGAGUUUCUUCCAGAAGAGUUGUACCAUCCUUAUUUCACACUCAGCAUCAUCUUCAACAAGGAACAAUACUUGGGCACCAAGUGUGAAGACAAUGGGAGUCAUUUACAUGAUAAAAAAGGCAUCAAGUUCUUAGUGGAAGAAUGCCCCUCUCUCUCUCCCAAUCCCCUCCAACAGAAAUUUAAUUUAAAAAAUCCAAAAACUUCUGCACAGCCACUGUGGAAAAGAGUGUGGUGGUUCCUCAAAAAGUUGAACCUAGAACUACCAUAUGACCCAGCAAGUCCAAUCCUAGGUAUUUACCCAGAAAAAGUGAAGGCAAGAAGGCAAACAGAAACCUGUACACCCAUGUUUAUUGCAGCACUUUUCACAAUAGCCAAAAGGUGGGAACAAUUUAAAUGUCCAUCGACAGACAAACAAAAUGUGGUACAUACAUACACACAAUGGACUAUUACUCAGCCAUAAAGAGAAAUGAAGUCCUGAUGCAUACCACUACAUGGCUGAAUCUUGAAAACAUCACGCUGAGUGAAAUAAGUCCAGUCGCAAAAGGACAAAUACUUCAUGAUCUCACAUAUAUAAAAUAAGCAAAAAUAUAUGAAAUCCAGAGAUAAUUAGUUGUUAGUGGGGGGGGGAGUUGUUGCUUAGGUGACACUGAGUUUGUGUUAGUGGCAGUGGAAGGAUUUAGAAAAGGUCAGUGAGAAUGGUUGCACAAGUUAAAGAAUACAGUCAAUGUCACUGAACUGUACAUGCAGAAGUUGUUCAGGUGGUGAUGUUUUGUUAUGUGUAUUUUACCACAAAAAGAGUGAGGGAAAUACAGAGAGAGGGAGGGAGGGAAGGAGGAGAAGAAGGAAGGAAGGAGAGAGAGAAAGAGUGACAGAGAGAGAAAAGAAAGGAAAGGAAAGGAAAGAGGGAGGGAGGAGGGAAGAAGGAAGGAAAGAGAAAGAGGGAGAGGAGGAGAAAGAGAGAGGCAGGCAGGCAGGCAGGCAGGCAGGCAGGCAAAGAAAACAGUAACAAUAAAAACCCUCCUGGUGCACAGAGAUUAUAUUCCCCUUUUCUCUCCCUUCCUCUGUUUACUGAAGUAGUAGCUCAUUAAAUCCACGCUCUAAAUACUGCUGAAGCCAGAAGGCGAUUUCCACACCCUGCUCAGCCUGUGUUAAGUCACACGGCUUUAUUUUUCAUGCUCAUUACAGAAAGCUCUGCUUUAAGAAGAUGAAUCAGGUUCCAAGAAUCUCCAGAGAUUGCAGAAGCUUACAGCAGUGAUUCUCAGUUUUGGAACCUAUUAGAAUUUCCUGGGCGGGCAGGUGGGGGAGGGUUACCGGCUAAAAAUGCAGAUUGUUGGACCCAGCCCCAGAGAUUCUAAGUUGGAACAUCUACGGUGGGGCCUGAAAGCCUACAUUUUGCACCAGCUUCUUGGGGGCUGGGAAGCAGGUGCGGAAUGGAUCACUCAGAGACCUGGUCUGGGAGAUCAGAGGAUUGGACCCUUAUUCUUGAAGAGAUAUACAAUAUAUUUAUCAUGUGGGAAGGGUGUACCUACGGGGUGUGUGAACAUGUGAGGGUGAAUGUGUGAUACAAAAAGAAGCAGCAGUAGAAUUCUCUCCUUCCACGCGGGAGACCCUGGUUCAAUUCCCAGCCACUGCACCUUGUGUACAGCCACCACCCAUCUGUCAGCAGAGGCUUGCACGUUGCAAUAAUACUGAACAGGUUUCAGCAGAGCUUCCAGUCUACGAUGGACUAGAAAAAAAGGCCUGGAGAUCUACUUCUGGAAAUGAGCCAGUGAAAAACCUAUGGAUCACAACAGUUCAAUCAGCAAUUGAUCAUGGGGAUGGCAGAGGACCUGGCAGUGUUUUGUUUCAUUAUGCCUGGGUCGCUGUUGAUCGGGCCGACUCCACAGCACCUAACAACACACACAUCUGAAAGGCACCCUGGAGUAGUAGAAGAUACUAGUUCUUCUUGUCUUUCUGCCCAAAAAACACCCUAUUUCCAGUUCCUCUUAAGAUUGUCCAGCUUAAGCUGCCCAGAGUUGGGCUGGACUCUGUGUUUUCCACUCUAUUUUCCUGGCAGCUUUGCAUCACAUGAACUUACAGCCAAAUUAUUUGGAGCCUUUGGUAAAUGAUAAUUUAAGGGGCUUACUUUGGGUGUUGAAGGUCGGCACACAUUGUCAUUUACUACUGAGCAAAGCUGUUGGAUGUAUGCUCAUGAGCCAAUCAGUGAACAUGGCCAUGCUGUCUGAUCAACAGGUCAACCCUGUGCUUCCCAUCACAGCCACUGCUAUUGAUGGAGGAUUUCACAUGAGCUAAUUCAGGGGGGCAAAUACGUAAUUUUCUGCAAGCACAGCACCUCCUCGGUUCAUUAAUGGUUUACCUCCCCAAAGACCUUCCUUCUUUCUCCUUCGCCAAGAGGAAAUGGCUCUCAACUGGGUCUUUGAUAACAACCCAGCAGGAAUGAAUGAUGAGGCCUAUUAUCAAAGAUGUUUUGAAUAAAAGCAACAUGCCCUGAGAGAGAUCGAUGGAGUGCCCAGAACAAUGAUUUUUAAAUACAUAUGUAUAUGUAUAUAUAUAAAAUGGUCCCUGUAAUUUUAAGAUCACUCAUGUCUCUGCCACUUAUUCAGGAUUGAAUCAAUGUGAGUACAUUGGUUUUCCUGUGUCCACGAGGAUACUCUUCUUACUCCACACCUGAUGGACUUUUAAUCUAUGGCAGAUAUUCAAUGACUUUCUGGGGGCAGUGGUUCAGCAAUAAGUCAGGCUGUCUCUGGAAGUCUCUGUCAACACUCACUGGGAACAUGAUUGAACAAUAUAGAUUUUCCUUGUAGCCUGGCUCCCCACUCCUUAAAUUAUAUUCCAUUAAGUCCAAUGAGCCUCAGUGAAGUACAUGUGGCUAGAAAUCCAUACCACCUAGAUUCUCUCCCAGCCCUUGUGGCUGGUGGCCUAGUUUGCAGCAAUCAGCUAGCAGGGCAGAGUGUUUUAGAGUGAUGCUGUCUUCAGCUUCUUAGUAGCUGGUCUGGAACUAAAUACUCCAAGGAGGAGAUUUCAGCAGAAGGGUGUGCAGCUCGUUGUUGGGAAGAGCUGUAUAUAGCCUGUACUCAGAGAACAAAAGCCAAGUGUCUAAAUGGGUUCUGUCCCUGACUUAUUGUGGGGGCUUAGCCAUGUCACUCUCCUUUUCAUCUGGACCUCAGAUUUCCUGUCUA